AACGCACAUUGCGCCCAUUGGUAUUCCGAUGGGCAUGCCUGUUCGAGCGUCAUUAUCCUCCCUCAAACCUCGUGUUUGGUGUUGGACCGCGUUGGCCGAGCGACCAACUGGUCUCAAAGACAAUGACGGCGUCCGUGGGACCCUCGGUGCAACGAGCUUCUAAGGAGCACGCGUCGAGUUUCAAGGACCCUCCGGGCCGGUCUUAACCUCUAACUUCUCAGGUUGACCUCGGAUCAGGUAGGAAUACCCGCUGAACUUAA
rnacentral:misc_RNA from 1 species